rnacentral:rRNA from 1 species
GACGACGCUGGCGGCGUGCUUAACACAUGCAAGUCGAGCGGUAAGGCUCCUUCGGGAGUACACGAGCGGCGAACGGGUGAGUAACACGUGAGUAACCUGCCCCUUUCAUCGGAAUAACCAGUGGAAACGCUGGCUAAUGCCGAAUACGACCACCGAAGGCAUCUUCUGGUGGUGGAAAGCUCCGGCGGAAAGGGAUGGACUCGCGGCCUAUCAGCUUGUUGGUGAGGUAAUGGCUCACCAAGGCAACGACGGGUAGCCGGCCUGAGAGGGUGACCGGCCACACUGGGACUGAGACACGGCCCAGACUCCUACGGGAGGCAGCAGUGGGGAAUAUUGGACAAUGGGCGAAAGCCUGAUCCAGCAACGCCGCGUGAGGGAUGACGGCCUUCGGGUUGUAAACCUCUUUCAGUAGGGACGAAGCGAAAGUGACGGUACCUACAGAAGAAGGACCGGCCAACUACGUG